UGGUGGUAGUCCACCUAAAGAUAAUAAAGAUAAGAAUAUUAUGAAUUUAAUUUCGGUUUUUAUAUUUCUGGCUGAAUAAAUUUGAUUUAUGAAAAAUAAAUUUAUUUGCUUAAAUAAUAAAACUAUAAUUAAUCUUAAUAGUGAGUAAAUAAUGAAGUAUAGUUCUCAGAUGUUUUCUCUGACUGUUAAUGAUCUAAUUAUUCAACCUAGAUGUCUGAUUGAUGAAUAUGCUAAAAGUUGUCGUAAGGAUGUUUGAUUUAAACCUCCUAUUACCCCAAUAAUAAUUCUUAAGAUAAUAAUUGUUCAAAUAAAAGUUCUUAAUUGAAUACAAUAAGAUAAGACCAUUAUUGGGGCGAUUUUUUGUCAUGUUAUUAAUGUUAAACAAUUAUUUCAUCUUGAUGCUCCUAUAACUUCUGGAAAUCAGAAAUGGAAAGGUGCAGCUCCAAUCUUUAAUAAUAGUA